rnacentral:lncRNA from 1 species
CCAAAUACGCCCAGAAAACGAACAAAUUAAAAAUGAGUAACGGUUGAACCCCGAAAUUCCUGAGUCAUCUUCUCCCACGAAUAUCACGACGAGCUUCUUCUUCAGUCUUUCAUGGCUUCUUAACCCAAACAAAGCUCCCUUCUCUCACGCCAACCACCACAGCCGGCAUUCGCCAGUUCCUCACUCGAGCUGUUGCUUCGCCGGAAUUGAUCACCACCAAGUAACGACGCCA